CCUACGGGAGGCAGCAGUGGGGGAUAUUGCACAAUGGGGAAACCCUGAUGCAGCGACGCUGCGUGAGAGAAGGAGUAUUUCGGGAGGUAAAGCUCUAUCAGCAGGGAAGAAAAUGACAGUACCUGACCAAGAAGCGCCGGCAAGCUACGAGCCAGCAGCCGCCGUAAUACGUCGGGGGCCAGCGUUAUCCGGAUGUACUGGGUGGAAAGGGGGCGUAGACGGGUUUUUAAGUCUGGAGUGAAAGCCCGGGGCCCAACCCCGGGAUUGCUUUGGAAACUGGGUAACUGGAGUACAGUAGGGGCAGGCGGAAUUCCUGGUGUAGCGGUGAAAUGCGUAGAUAUCAGGAGGAACACCGGCGGCGAAGGCGGCCUGCUAGACUGAAACUGACGUUGAGGCUCGAAAGCGUGGGGAGCAAACAGGAUUAGAUACCCCAGUAGUC
rnacentral:rRNA from 1 species